rnacentral:tmRNA from 1 species
ACCUAUAUUCGGCCUGCCGGCUCGUCCGGCUAUGGCGAUAAACUGCCGAUGCAAUAAGCCGUUCGGACCCGGGGGCGGUACCCGGCGCCUCCACCAAAAACCGCCGCAGCCUUCAUGGGCGGCUUUUGAUGGGGGCGAAACAGGAUCGACGAAGGUGUAAAGAUCGGACUUUCGCACGGCAUUGUACCACCGUUAUCGGGCUAAACUUAUAGUUGCCAACGACAACUAUGCGGAAGCUCGUCUCGCUGCUUAAUGCAGCGCGAACGCUUCAAAUCAAGCCUUAGGCCGUCGCAGGUCUAAGCGGGGUCCGGAGGCACCUGGCAACAGAAGCCUCCACU